rnacentral:rRNA from 1 species
CACGUAGGGCGCAAGCGUUGUCCGGAAUUAUUGGGCGUAAAAGAGCUCGUAGGCGGUUUGUCGCGUCUGCCGUGAAAGUCCGGGGCUCAACUCCGGAUCUGCGGUGGGUACGGGCAGACUAGAGUGAUGUAGGGGAGACUGGAAUUCCUGGUGUAGCGGUGAAAUGCGCAGAUAUCAGGAGGAACACCGAUGGCGAAGGCAGGUCUCUGGGCCAUAACUGACGCUGAGAAGCGAAAGCAUGGGGAGCGAACAGG